rnacentral:lncRNA from 1 species
AAAGUCGCACCGCCUAAACUCUUCCCCUUUCCGCACGCUUAAAAAAUCUCUUCCUUGUUAUUAUAUCCACAUUUAUAUUGUUGGCCACCUGCAAUUCCACGUGUAGCACCCGUUAAUGGUGGCAGGUAAAAAAUGAUUUCCAUGGUGUGGAAGUUUCAAUUUUCAUAGAAUAUUUAAAAAUGAAGAAAGAAAAAAGACAUCUCCAUGUGUUUUUGACCAUGCCGUUGGGAUAUCAUGAUUCAUGCCAUGGCCCAUGGGACAUGUUUUGUUUUUGGGUAAUGGGGUCAAUGGGAAGCAAGCAAGUUUUGUUCAAAGUUUUUUUUUAAUUUUUUUUGUCUUAACCACCAGGUUUAUAAUUCAAAUGAUAUUUGAACACCAACCCGGUCCACUUGACCGAAUUAUUUUCUGACAGUAUUAUUUAUUUUGUUUCGAGUCCGAGUUUUAAGAGAGUUAGGAGAUAUGAACUAAAAAAUUAAUUCGUAUUUUACUAAUUAUCCUAUUUUUUUCUUUUUCUUUUUCUUUUUUAAAGAAAAGACAAAUAUAUGAAAAAAAAAAAGUACGAUGUAUCAUUUUGGCUGCCAGUUGCUAUGAUGUUAUUGUACACUGAACGGUAACAUUGAGUCUGUUGCCCUUUGCUACCCAGUUGUUCAAAUAUUAGUGCUCUUGUUUUUAUAACAUUGUUUUAAGCUUUAACUAACAAUCUAAAUUGAUAUUGAAAUCAACCUACUUUAGCCUCCAGCAUCUUUAGCAUUUAUUAAUCUGCAGAAAACUUCUAACCCUUUAACUCAAUCGGGUCAGAUCUUUAUGGGUGAUCUAUUAUUGCAUGCUGCAACAGAUGAAACCAACCAUCAGUGUAAGACAACUCCAGCUGUCCACUUAAAAGUCGCAAACAUUUUAGCUUUAGACAAAAGAAUGCCCCGAAAAUUUGAAUAUGGAAUAUAAAUCAUUCAUUGCAGAAAUUUGGAAAGAGAUGAAACAACUCUUCAUAAGGUAAUGGUAUUUUCAUGUCAAGUUAAAUUAUGAGCUCAAUUGAAUUACUUUCGGCUGCGACCCUUUUUCUAGAACAAAGGGUAGGGCAUUGAGGGUGUUCAAAAAGAUGGUAGAAUUUUCAGGCACAUACCAGUAUAUUGUCAAAGUCACUCAGCUUUUGGCUACCAUGAAUUUAAGCUUUUGCAACCAGUUCACGUGUUGAUCUUGCUGUACAUGGAGGAGAAGAUAGUUGGUUAAGUGUUCUCCAAUUCCUCUGGCAACUAGAUAUUCCUUGAGCGCGACUUGUAAUUGAGGGUCCAAAGAA